ensembl:snoRNA
CUGCAUCUUCUGAUAGACCUUGAACAGCUUGCUGUUGUUCUUUUGGUUUGCACGAGGAAGCAAAAGCAAAUAAUCCCUGCACUUUCUGUUUGUCUUUGUGGUAGCCCAGAUUGAAUUGGGAGAAUACAUUA